UGAGGAAUAUUGGUCAAUGGACGCAAGUCUGAACCAGCCAUGCCGCGUGCAGGAAGACGGCUCUAUGAGUUGUAAACUGCUUUUGUACGAGGGUAAACUCGGAUACGUGUAUCCGUUUGAAAGUAUCGUACGAAUAAGGAUCGGCUAACUCCGUGCCAGCAGCCGCGGUAAUACGGAGGAUUCAAGCGUUAUCCGGAUUUAUUGGGUUUAAAGGGUGCGUAGGCGGUCGGAUAAGUUAGAGGUGAAAUCCCGAGGCUCAACUUCGGAAUUGCCUCUGAUACUGUUCGGCUAGAGAGUAGUUGCGGUAGGCGGAAUGUAUGGUGUAGCGGUGAAAUGCUUAGAGAUCAUACAGAACACCGAUUGCGAAGGCAGCUUACCAAGCUACUUCUGACGUUGAGGCACGAAAGCGUGGGGAGCAAACAGG
rnacentral:rRNA from 1 species